UGGACGUUGACACAGCAAUGAAAACAGCGUUAUUUCACGCCCCGUCUGAUCG
rnacentral:snoRNA from 1 species